GCCUACAAAAUAACGCUAAUGCACUAGAUCCCAUUAUAACUUUGUAGUUAAGUGGACUUGGGUUAGAGCAGUAUUGGGAUGGGUGACCACCUAGAAAGUGCUAGUAUUUUAUAGGCC
rfam:Picea glauca, whole genome shotgun sequence.